CCUACGGGAGGCAGCAGUGGGGAAUAUUGGACAAUGGGCGAAAGCCUGAUCCAGCAAUGCCGCGUGAGUGAUGAAGGCCUUAGGGUUGUAAAGCUCUUUUACCAGGGAUGAUAAUGACAGUACCUGGAGAAUAAGCUCCGGCUAACUCCGUGCCAGCAGCCGCGGUAAUACGGAGGGAGCUAGCGUUGUUCGGAAUUACUGGGCGUAAAGCGUACGUAGGCGGUUAUUCAAGUCAGAGGUGAAAGCCUGGAGCUCAACUCCAGAACUGCCUUUGAAACUAGAUAGCUAGAAUCUUGGAGAGGUGAGUGGAAUUCCGAGUGUAGAGGUGAAAUUCGUAGAUAUUCGGAAGAACACCAGUGGCGAAGGCGACUCACUGGACAAGUAUUGACGCUGAGGUACGAAAGCGUGGGGAGCAAACAGGAUUAGAUACCCUGGUAGUCCACGCCGUAAACGAUGAUAACUAGCUGUUCGGGCUCUACGAGCUUGAGUGGCGCAGCUAACGCAUUAAGUUAUCCGCCUGGGGAGUACGGUCGCAAGAUUAAAACUCAAAAGAGUAGUAGACGNGNGAGAGCGACGAGACACAGGAGGUAGAGG
rnacentral:rRNA from 1 species